rnacentral:rRNA from 1 species
GAGUUUGAUCGUGGCUCAGAUUGAACGCUGGCGGCAGGCCUAACACAUGCAAGUCGAGCGGAUGACGGGAGCUUGCUCCUUGAUUCAGCGGCGGACGGGUGAGUAAUGCCUGGGAAUCUGCCUGGUGGUGGGGGACAACGUUUCGAAAGGAACGCUAAUACCGCAUACGUCCUACGGGAGAAAGCAGGGGACCUUCGGGCCUUGCGCUAUCAGAUGAGCCUAGGUCGGAUUAGCUAGUUGGUGGGGUAAUGGCUCACCAAGGCGACGAUCCGUAACUGGUCUGAGAGGAUGAUCAGUCACACUGGAACUGAGACACGGUCCAGACUCCUACGGGAGGCAGCAGUGGGGAAUAUUGGACAAUGGGCGAAAGCCUGAUCCAGCCAUGCCGCGUGUGUGAAGAAGGUCUUCGGAUUGUAAAGCACUUUAAGUUGGGAGAAGGGCAGUAAGUUAAUACCUUGCUGUUUGACGUUACCGACAGAAUAAGCACCGGCUAACUCUGUGCCAGCCG